GGAAGCGCGCCUCAAGAUGAGAUCUCCCGGGGCACAAGCCCCCUGAAGGAACCAUGUAGACUACGUGGUUGAUAGGUCAGGUGUGUAAGUACAGCAAUGUAUUGAGCUAACUGAUACUAAUGAUCCGAGAGGCUUGACCAU
rnacentral:rRNA from 1 species